rnacentral:rRNA from 1 species
UACGGAGGGUGCAAGCGUUAAUCGGAAUUACUGGGCGUAAAGCGCACGCAGGUGGCUGAGUCAGUCGAUUGUGAAGCCCUGGCUUGAACCUGGGAAUUGCAGUCGAUACUACUCAGCUAGAGUAUGGGAGAGGGUAGUGGAAUUCCCGGUGUGAGCGGUGGAAAUGCGUAGAUAUCGGGAGGAACAUCAGUGGCGAAGGCGGCUACCUGGCCCAAUACUGACACUCAGGUGCGACAGCGUGGGAGCAA